rnacentral:misc_RNA from 1 species
CAACAGUAGCUGACAAUGUUAGGUAAAUGGUAUAACUUUGUGCCCUAUGGGCAACCAGGCGAAAGUUGCCAGUUAUCUCCUGUCCUGGCAUGACAUAAAGUGGCUGUGACAAUACACACCGAAGCUGAUACCAGUGAGUUGUAGGUGCACCAGGAGCAGUGGUAAGCCACCUCGGUACAGUGCUUCCAUUGAAUAGUACAUCAAACCAGCAAGCCAGCCCAUGAAUUCUAGUGCUAACAGAACAUGCAAAUUUCAAUGGGAUCUCAAUUUCAUAUAGAUCUUCUUCCUUUAUUAAAGUGAAGUUAAUCGCAUGAGAUAUUGCAGGAGCUACCAAUAACCUUGGAUCAAAAGCAUCAACCACUGGCUGAGAAAAGUAUCCUUCAUAUGCAGAUCUUUGCAAGGGUGUUAAAUCAACCCCAAAAUAGCUCUGUUGCUGCCAAAAAAUAGCCUUAUUUGCAAUUUCCAGAUACAAAUAUUCAUCACUGAAUGGUGCCACGUGUAUUCUUCCCACUGCAGGAAACAUUUUUCCAUUUGGAACUAGAAACCGAUCUCUUGCAAUCACAUAAGACUCCAGCAUUCUUUCAUUAACUAACAAAGUACCCAUUGGCUCAGAGAUUAAGAUAUCGGCUUUCACAGGUAACUCUACUUCUUCAACCUUUCCUUUGAUUACUGUAAUUCUCUCAUUCAAUGAUGGAUUUCCUGCAAUAAGCUUUUUAGCAUGUUCGGCCAUUUCAGAUGCCUCUAUGGCAUAAACAUGUUUUGCACCAGCCUGAGCUGCAAAUAAUGACAAAAUACCACUUCCAGCUCCAACAUCAACCACUACACGACCUAGAAAAUCAGCACGGUUCUCAAUUACAGCAGCAUAAUAGGUUCCUG